GCCUACGGGAGGCAGCAGUAGGGAAUCUUCCACAAUUUUCUCCCGCCUUAUGGAGCAACGCCGCGUGGGUGAAGAAGGUCUUCGGAUCGUAAAACCCUGUUGUUAGAGAAGAAAGUGCGUGAGAGUAACUGUUCACGUUUCGACGGUAUCUAACCAGAAAGCCACGGCUAACUACGUGCCAGCAGCCGCGGUAAUACGUAGGUGGCAAGCGUUAUCCGGAUUUAUUGGGCGUAAAGGGAACGCAGGCGGUCUUUUAAGUCUGAUGUGAAAGCCUUCGGCUUAACCGGAGU
rnacentral:rRNA from 1 species